UACGUAGGGAGCAAGCGUUGUUCGGAUUUACUGGGCGUAAAGGGCGCGUAGGCGGCAAUUCAAGUCAUCUGUGAAAUCUCCGGGCUUAACUCGGAACGGUCAGAUGAUACUGCUUUGCUAGAGUGCGGAAGGGGCAAUCGGAAUUCUUGGUGUAGCGGUGAAAUGCGUAGAUAUCAAGAGGAACACCUGAGGUGAAGACGGGUUGCUGGGCCGACACUGACGCUGAGUGCGCGAAAGCCAGGGGAGCAAACGGG
rnacentral:rRNA from 1 species